GGGGCGGGAGUGUUUUUGAUGUCUCCAGUUCCUUGGAAACAGCAUGACGUCACUAGUAUGGCUGUCAGUGACAUAUAUAAAGAAGCUGCGCUGAGCGUAGAAUAGACACUGAACGAAGCAUUGCGACGAGGACCUGUCUGAGCUAGAGUCAUAUCACACUUCUUACUAACCUUAAUGGGAAGCGGCCGUGUAAAUGCGUGUUAAGAGAACACAGAACGCCAGCUGCGGCGACAACGCUAGCCCGGGGUGCUUCAAGUUCUCCGAAUUCAUCGCAGAGCCUCCCUGGGUCUUCUGAUAGCGGCUUGUUGCAUACUUA